AAGUCAUAACAAGGUUUCCGUAGGUGAACCUGCGGAAGGAUCAUUAUAGAAUGGCCGAAAGGCUUUAUCCACACACACUGUGAACCGUGGGCUUCGGCCUUUUAAACUCUGUGUAUGAAUGUAAAUUAUUAUAACUAAAACAA
rnacentral:misc_RNA from 1 species